GUGGGGAAUCUUGCACAAUGGGGGAAACCCUGAUGCAGCGACGCCGCGUGAGCGAUGAAGCCCUUCGGGGUGUAAAGCUCUUUCGGCAGGAACGAUAAUGACGGUACCUGCAGAAGAAGCUGCGGCUAACUACGUGCCAGCAGCCGCGGUAAUACGUAGGCAGCAAGCGUUGUUCGGAAUUACUGGGCGUAAAGAGUGUGUAGGUGGUGUCGUAAGUUUGGUGUGAAAUCUCCCGGCUUAACUGGGAGGGUGCGCCGAAGACUGCGAUGCUGGAGUAUGGGAGAGGAAAGCGGAAUUCCUGGUGUAGCGGUGAAAUGCGUAGAUAUCAGGAGGAACACCUGCGGUGUAGACGGCUUUCUGGACCAUUACUGACACUGAGACACGAAAGCGUGGGUAGCAAACAGGAUUAGAUACCCGAGUAGUCC
rnacentral:rRNA from 1 species